rnacentral:lncRNA from 10 species
ACAUAAAGGUUCUCCAAGUCCCCACCAGAUUAGCUAGAUACAGAGUGCUGGUUGGUACAUCCUUAAACCCUGAGCUAGACCCAGAGUGCUGAUCGGUGCAUUUAGAAUCCUCCAGCUAGACAUAAAAGUUCUCCAAGUCCUUACCUGACUCAGGAGCCCAGCUGGCUUCACGUAGUGGAUCCCGCCGCGGGGACGCGGGCGGAGCUGCCCGCCAGUCCCACGCGCGCGCGCGCGCGCUCCCGCACUCCUCACCCCUUGGGCGGUCAAUGGAACCGGGUGCUGCCAAACAUGGGGCGGCGCACGUCACGGAGGCCCGGCUGCCCGGGAGCCCGCCGCAGUGGCGGGGGGCGGGGCUUGGGCAUGGCGGGCUGCAGGUCCUGAGCCCUCCCCUGGGGGUAGGCGGCUGAGGCCUGUUGAGAAUUAAAGCGCGGCGCGGGCGGGCUGGCAGUGCUGGGGGACCCGGCGCACCCUCCACAGCUGCUGGCCCCGGUGCUAAGCCCCGCUGAGCCUGCGCCCACCCGGAACUGGCGCUGGCUCGCGAGCGCGGCGCGCAGCCCCAGCUCCCGCCCGUGCCUCUCCCUCCACACCUCCCUGCAAGCAGAGGGAGCCGGCUCCGGCCUCAGCCAGCCCAGAAGGGGGCUCCCACAGCGCAGCAGCGGGCUGAGGGGCUCCUCAAGCACUGCCAGAGUGGACGCUGUGGCCUAAAGAGGUGCUGAGAGCGAGCGAGGGCUGCUAGCACGAUGUCACCUCUCAAUUACAGUGUUGUAGUUUAACAUAGCUAAUCUUGGCUUCAUGAGGCACUGUCUUUUCUGCGUUGCCAUUUGGUUUGUGAGCAUUUGAGGAAACUGUCUUCCUGAACUCCACAAAUUUUGUAUGUUAUUUCAGCACUUGAGGAAACCGUCUUCCUGAACUCCACUGCAUCUCAGACAAGAAAGCAGUGAGCAAUUAACAUGGCAGGAAGAUUUAACAGUUACUCUUUAGACAAGAAAACAAGUCCAAUACUGAACAACGCCACCUCAGUGGGUCUGACAGAAGACAGAAGAAUUAAAGUUUAAUUGUGCAUUUCCAAGAACAUGUCAAUGCUAUAAAGGACUUACUAUACUUUCAGCCAACAACUGAGCCUAGGACAUCUCUGAACAUACAGUGGUGAGUGGCACAGCCUAGACCACGGUGACUAGAUUGUCUGCGGCAGAAAAAUUGUCUUUUGAAUUUUGAUCCCAAGAUUGGUGAUGGUGAGGGAUAGUCUUCUUCUGUCUAGUUGUGACACUUUGGGCAACUUAAAUUCUAUACAUUGCUUGCUUCUUAUCUGUAAAAUGAAAAACAAGCAAAUAUCAAAUUAUUGUUGUGUAAUUGAAUGAGUCAAGGUGUAUAACUUAUGCAGUAUAGUUUUUAAUACUUUGAAGUGGCUUGAAACAUGUUUUGUUCCCUUUCUGAGGCUGUCUGUGGCCAAUGAAACUCUGAUAAUAAUAAUAAAUCUGAGACUCUUUUAUUUGAAUACAGUUUGAGGCAUUUCAUAAGUAACCAUUACAUUGUUUUGCCAAUUGUUCCCCCAUAUAAAGUAGUUGAGAAUUUGAUUAGCUUAGUAGGACUCAGUUUUAUGGCUACAACCUCCACCUCCCAGGUUCAAGUGAUCCUCCUGCCUCAGCCCCUAGAGUAACUGGGAUUACAGGCGCCCAGCACCACACCCGGCUAAUUUUUGUAUUUUUAGUAGAGACAGGGUUUCACCAUGUUGGCCAGGAUGGUCUUGAACUCUUGACCCCAGAUGAUCCACCCACCUCGACCUCCCAAAGUGAUGGGAUUACGGGUGUGAGCCACCAUGCCUGGCCUCUUUCCUUCUUUUAAUUAUUCCUCUCAGUCUUUCUGUCUCUCAUUCUAUUAGUUAUUUCACUUUUCCUUCAAGUUAUAUAGAAGUUGAAAUAUAUGAGUUAGUGAGCAAAAUACAAUAAACCUGUAACAUUUUUUUUAUAUAUAGCUCAUUGAUUGAUAUAAACUAUUUGAUCACGGAAAUAUGACCAUGUAAAUCAAACAACUUAGAUACUAUUUACUUUGCCAUUACUUCUAAUGGCAAAAACCACAGUUACUUUUGUAUCAACCUAAUGCAUAAUACAUAAUUACAUUUGUAUCUACCUAAUACAUAAAAAUUGAGCUAUUAUAGAGGGCUUAUGCUUCAGUGCAGUUUUUACAUUGAUUUAUAAAAAGUAAAUUUCAAUGACUUUUUUGUUGGUAAUCUGUAUUGUUCUGAACUGUUCUUUUGGUACCAUAUUUUUGUUUGGAAGUAGUGGAUGUAUAUUUGAUCUAUUAUUUCUUAACAUUGGGUAAUUUGAUUAUUUUAAGAGUAGAUAUUUAUUAUUCCCCUGAUUGUUAAAAAGUAAUAAUGGCAUGUAACAAGAGUAUAAUGAAAAUACUUGUUCCAAACGUGUAAUAUUUAUCAAACUGACUUGAUUAUCUAUACACAUAUAUGCACACGAUAUUAUAAAGUGUUAAUCAUUUUAUGAAGAGAUGUUUUUUCAUUAGAAUGCAUUUUCCCUCAUAAUUUUAGAUUCUUUUUUUCUAUAUUAAUAUGACAUUUUGAUUCUUCUUCAAAUUAGCAGUGAAGAACUUUUCUUAUUGGCGGUCUUAUUUUGCUGCUUUUUCUCCCAUCAUCUCUAUAAUGACUGUGCUGAGCAUCACAAUUGUUUGAGACAGUUUUACUUGCAUUUCCUGGAGGCACUUCCCCUUUAACUUCUAUAUAAGAUCAAUAUUUAAUCACCUUUUUAAAAUCUAAAUUUAUACCAUGUCUCUCCAAAACGAACUAUUUGUCUAUCAUGUGCUGUUUCUUCAUAUUUUAAGUCCUAAAUGGAUUAGAGGUAAUAAUUGAGUGUAAGUUUCAAAGAAAAUAUGACUGCUUGAAAGAAUAAAUUGAAUGUGUGGAAAAUUAAAUUUUUCACUUAAUACAAUUAAUAAAGGUCACAUUCUUCAUAUAUGUGUAAGUGUUCAACUUAUACUUGAUUAGGAGUUAGGCAAUACAAUGUAUAUGGCAAUUAAUUAAAAAAAAUUCAUGAAUAU